AUUGAACGCUGGCGGCAGGCCUAACACAUGCAAGUCGAGCGAGAAAGGUCUUCGGACUGAGUACAGCGGCGGACGGGUGAGUAAUGCGCAGGAAUCUACCUGGUAGUGGGGGGAUAACUCGGGGAAACUCGAACUAAUACCGCAUACGCCCUACGGGGGAAAGCGGGGGACCUUCGGGCCUCGCGCUAUCAGAUGAGCCUGCGUAGGAUUAGCUUGUUGGUGAGGUAAAGGCUCACCAAGGCGACGAUCCUUAGCUGGUCUGAGAGGAUGAUCAGCCACACUGGAACUGAGACACGGUCCAGACUCCUACGGGAGGCAGCAGUGGGGAAUAUUGCGCAAUGGGCGAAAGCCUGACGCAGCCAUGCCGCGUGUGUGAAGAAGGCCCUUGGGUUGUAAAGCACUUUCAAUUGGGAAGAAAGGUUGCGUGUUAAUAGCACGUAGCUGUGACGUUACCUUUAGAAGAAGCACCGGCUAACUCCGUGCCAGCAGCCG
rnacentral:rRNA from 1 species